UUUCCUUUUCUUUCCUCUCUUGCGCUUGCGUCUGAGUCCGUUCUGCACUGUGACUGGCGAAGCCUGAAGCAGCAGCGGCGACACCAGCUAGGCCGGACUUCCUCGCGCGCCACCUUGUUGCAGUUCGACGUCGCAGCAGCUCCGCCAGUGGUUCUACUUCAUCCUCGGCCAGAUCGCGCGGCGCCACCUCCACCAGAUCGCAUCACCGCCUUGAUCUGUCGCGCCACUGCCUGCAAUCGCUCUAGCGUGCCUCCGACCACCAGAGAUGGGUCUGAUCUGUCGCCGCCUCCGCCUCUCUGCCACUGCCAGUCGGAUUCCUCUGCCUGCAGUUCCAGUGCGCAUCCAGCACGCGUAAAUUCCCGAUCUAGCGAAAUUCGAUAAGAAAAAAAAAAUUAUAUUUGGAUGCUUACGAAGUUCCAGAACAUCAAAACAAAAGUCGAGAGCGGCAGUAAUAAAGAUAGUCCUUUAAAGGACAAUAAAGAACUUAGGUACCUCGCCACGCUGAAACUGUGUGUAAGUAUCCACGAGAGUGUGAAGAGAAUGAAAGUUUGUUUAAUUGCCAUGUUGUCACCUCUUUCCGUUCCUCCUCAGUAACCAACCCAAAUUCUGAUCGCUCAAAAAGGUAAAAAAAGAAGAUAUCGCAAGCGCAAUCCAAGGAGAAUUAAAUUUAAGGCCACGCUAAAUGGAAAACAGAAGCUUAGCAAUAAUUUUAUUCCAAUAAACUCCUCCAAGCUUUGAGUCAAGUUUGUCUGAGUCUCUCUUCACCUUCGGCACCUCGUCAAGGUUGGGCCGUUAGAGAAGUCGUUGAUAGAGCCCUUGUUGUCGCUGCAAAGGGGAGAACAAGGUGGAGUCGAGCUAUUUUAACUAGCUGAAUCAAGCUCAAGUUCGAGAAGCAACACAAGAGGCAAAGAGUGGCAGCGACUAUUGUUUCGGUGGCUGGUACAGGGAGUAGCCGAUCGAAGAAGCCGAGAGUUAGUGUUUUGAGGUUGAAGGGAAGAGUUUACUAGCUGUGCAAAGGAAAGUGCGUGUUCUAGGCAGAUUGGUUCCCGGUUGCCGGAAACAACCAUUGCUGGUUAUCCUAAUCUUGAAUAACAUUAAUAACUCAUUUUCUGAUUUUCUC